UCCACGGUAGCUCAAUGGUGAGAGCAUCGCACGCGCAAUGCGAAGACGUGGGUUCGUUUCCCAUCUGCGGAC
rnacentral:tRNA from 1 species